CAGCAUCUGAAACUGAGCUCCCUUGUGUGUGGAGAAGAUGAUAUGUUUCUGGUUUCCAGCCAGCCCAGGAAAUGAAAGACUUUUCUGCUCCAGAGACUGAGAAUGAAUUAGAACAUGAGCCAGAUGGGCAGAUGUUGACUGAAGGCUAAAAGGAAGAAGAUGAGAUGGCCUGAGGCUGGCAUCUUCUGAGACCCUAAUAGCAUGGACUUCACAGUAUCCCUCAGUGGUCGUUCACUAUCAGGGAUCAAACUCAGGUUGCAGGCUCACACCGCAAGUGCUUCUCUCCGCCGGGCUGCCUGGAAGACCCCUCUUGCUUGCUUUUCA